GACGAACGCUGGCGGCGUGCUUAACACAUGCAAGUCGAACGCGCCUGUCCUCUGGGUUUCUGGGGGGUGGGUGAGUGGCGAACGGGUGAGUAACACGUGAGUAACCUGCCCCCUUCUUCGGGAUAACGGUCUGAAAGGGCUGCUAAUACCGGGUAUUCACUGGUCUCCGCAUGGGGUCUGGUGGAAAGGUUUUUUUCUGGUGGGGGAUGGGCUCGCGGCCUAUCAGCUUGUUGGUGGGGUGAUGGCCCACCAAGGCUUUGACGGGUAGCCGGCCUGAGAGGGUGACCGGUCACAUUGGGACUGAGAUACGGCCCAGACUCCUACGGGAGGCAGCAGUGGGGAAUAUUGCACAGUGGGCGCAAGCCUGAUGCAGCGACGCCGCGUGAGGGAUGGAGGCCUUCGGGUUGUGAACCUCUUUCGCCCGUGGUCAAGCCGCGACGUGGGUCGUGGUGAGGGUAGUGGGUAAAGAAGCGCCGGCUAACUACGUG
rnacentral:rRNA from 1 species